UCUCAGUCACUAAAACACCGAUUUUGUUUUAAUUUAUUGCAUCUGGUAAAGCUUUUGCCGGUAAACAUCUGUGUUCGAAUUUCGAACUCUGCUUCCAUUGUUUACAUUCGUUUCGCCGCGUCGUUUGCUGUCGUAUGGAAAAAUCGCCCGUAGCGUGGACAUCACAGAUUUGUAUAAAUCUUGCGAUAAUUGUGUAACCAAAAGACUUUGUUAAUUAUGCAAUUUUAAGAAAAGUGUGUGAUUUCUAUAAACAAAUAUUUGAAUUUUCAAGAAAAUCCGCACCUAAACAAACACAUCGAAAAAGGUAUAAGAACAUGCGAAAAAAACUCAGAGGAGGUAUAAUUAAAGCCAUGCUACGGUAAAAUCUGGGAAUUUGACCACAAAAAAAAACAUCGGCAAAAAUAGAAAAAUACAUAAUGAACACAAACAACAACUGCAAAAAUCCUCAAUACAAUAAACAAUACCCAAGACAAAAAAACUGUCCGCUCGUAAAGGGGUAAGGCGUUGCUAAUAUUGCGUACAGUUAUUAAAUCUGCU